GGUCGGGAUAGCUCAGCUGGUAGAGCAGAGGACUGAAAAUCCUCG
rnacentral:tRNA from 2 species